rnacentral:lncRNA from 1 species
UUCAUGUCGGUUAGUCUUAAGCAAAUAAAAGUAAACGUUUUAUGUAUAUUUUAAUUUUAUGUUUAUUUAGGAAUCAAAAUGGACCCUUCACCCCCUCGAAAAAAAUUAAAGAUUCCGUUGCAAGAGGUUCAACAGAACAUCAAUAAGCCUGUAAAAAUUGCUUCAGCUGCUCAGGGAGCCGCUGGACCAGAUCAUAGGAAUAUUCCUGCAAGUGUUACCACAACAAGCACAGCUCACCAUAGAAGGCCAAAAAAUUACCCUGCGGCGGAAGAACCUGCUUCUAGCCCUCAUAAGAGGGUCAAGUUAGAAGUAAUCGAAGAAUAUAACUACUUCGAAAAUACACUACUUUAAGAGGCAGGUUCAAUGAACUCAAUACCCAGUAUAAGACACUAACUAAAGGACUCAUAUCAUUCGGUGAAGGAUGCCCUAAACAAAAUAACCAAAGAGGCUGAAGAGAAAACUGAAAUCCUCGCCAAAAAAAAAACAAGGAAAUCCUUUAAAGGCAAAGGGAAAUGAAUGAAGAAUAUUCAAGGAAGAUCGCGGCUCAGCAACAAGAUCUAGAAACUAAUAAAUUACCGACAAGUGUAUAGAAUCGUUGCAACAGCAAAUAAAAACGUUGCGACAAGAGCAGGACCAAGACAAAAUGACAAAA